GACGAACCGUGCGAACGUUGUUCGGAAUCACUGGGCUUAAAGGGCGCGUAGGCGGGCGACCAAGUCAGGGGUGAAAUCUUUCGGCUUAACCGGAAAACAGCUUCUGAUACUGGCCGUCUUGAGCGAGGUAGGGGCAUGUGGAACUUCCGGUGGAGCGGUGAAAUGCGUAGAUAUCGGAAGGAACGCCGGUGGCGAAAGCGGCGUACUGGACCUCUUCUGACGCUGAGGCGCGAAAGCUAGGGGAG
rnacentral:rRNA from 1 species